rnacentral:snoRNA from 1 species
AUGCAGACAUCUAAUGAGGCCCGGCCUGCAGUGGCCGCGUCCUUUCCUGUAGUGUCUGCUAGAGAGAUGUUGGGGCUGUUUGAGGCCCUGCUGUGGCUCUUCAUGGCAGGGUUAUAGGUAAACCUCAGACAAAC